rnacentral:rRNA from 1 species
UACGCAGGGGACUAGCGUUGUUCGGAAUCACUGGGCGUAAAGCGCACGUAGGCGGCGGACACAGUCAGACGUGAAAUUCCUGGGCUCAACCUGGGGGCUGCGUUUGAUACAUGUUCGCUUGAGUUCGGAAGAGGGUCGUGGAAUUCCCAGUGUAGAGGUGAAAUUCGUAGAUAUCGGGAGGAACACCUGUGGCGAAAGCGGCUCACUGGACCAUAACUGACGCUGAUGCACGAAAGCUGGGGGAGCAAACAGG